CUACGGGUCGCAGCAGUGGGGAAUAUUGCACAAUGGACGAAAGUCUGAUGCAGCGAUCCUGCGUGGAGGAUGAAGCAUUACGGUGUGUAAACUCCUUUUUUGGUAGAAGACGAAUGACGGUAUACCAAGAAUAAGGGACGGCUAACUAUGUGCCAGCAGCCGCGGUAAUACAUAGGUCCCAAGCGUUAUCCGGAUUUACUGGGCGUAAAGUGUCCGUAGCCUGAUGUGUAAGUCUGUUUUCAAAUACUGUGGCUCAACCAUAGAAAGGGAAUAGAUACUGCACAUCUGGAAGUUGUUGGAGGUUAGUGGAAUUUCAGGUGGAGCGGUGAAAUGCGUUGAUAUCUGAAAGAACGCCGAAAGCGAAAGCAGCUAACUACAAUAAACUUGACGGUGAUGGACGAAAGCUUGGGGAGCGAACGGGAUUAGAUACCCUUGUAGUC
rnacentral:rRNA from 1 species